UGUCACAGCCAUAUCACCCUGCAACCCAAGACCGGUUACUCAUUGAAGCUAAGCAAGGCUGAGCCUGGUCAGUACCUGGAUAAGAGACCAUAUGGGAAAAUUUAGUUGUUGGAAAU
rnacentral:rRNA from 1 species